UGAGGAAUAUUGGUCAAUGGACGCAAGUCUGAACCAGCCAUGCCGCGUGCAGGAAGACGGCUCUAUGAGUUGUAAACUGCUUUUGUACGAGGGUAAACUCACCUACGUGUAGGUGACUGAAAGUAUCGUACGAAUAAGGAUCGGCUAACUCCGUGCCAGCAGCCGCGGUAAUACGGAGGAUUCAAGCGUUAUCCGGAUUUAUUGGGUUUAAAGGGUGCGUAGGCGGUUUGAUAAGUUAGAGGUGAAAUCCCGGGGCUUAACUCCGGAACUGCCUCUAAUACUGUUAGACUAGAGAGUAGUUGCGGUAGGCGGAAUGUAUGGUGUAGCGGUGAAAUGCUUAGAGAUCAUACAGAACACCGAUUGCGAAGGCAGCUUACCAAACUAUAUCUGACGUUGAGGCACGAAAGCGUGGGGAGCAAACAGGAUUAGAUACCCUGGUAGUCCACGCAGUAAACGAUGAUAACUCGUUGUCGGCGAUACACAGUCGGUGACUAAGCGAAAGCGAUAAGUUAUCCACCUGGGGAGUACGUUCGCAAGAAUGAAACUCAAAGGAAUUGACGGGGGCCCGCACAAGCGGAGGAACAUGUGGUUUAAUUCGAUGAUACGCGAGGAACCUUACCCGGGCUUGAAAGUUACUGACGAUUCUGGAAACAGGAUUUCCCUUUGGGGCAGGAAACUAGGUGCUGCAUGGUUGUCGUCAGCUCGUGCCGUGAGGUGUCGGGUUAAGUCCCAUAACGAGCGCAACCCCUACCGUUAGUUGCCAUCAGGUCAAGCUGGGCACUCUGGCGGGACUGCCGGUGUAAGCCGAGAGGAAGGUGGGGAUGACGUCAAAUCAGCACGGCCCUUACGUCCGGGGCUACACACGUGUUACAAUGGUAGGUACAGAGGGUCGCUACUCCGUGAGGAGAUGCCAAUCUCGAAAGCCUAUCUCAGUUCGGAUUGGAGGCUGAAACCCGCCUCCAUGAAGUUGGAUUCGCUAGUAAUCGCGAAUCAGAAUGCCGCGGUGAAUACGUUCCC
rnacentral:rRNA from 1 species